AAAAAUUUAAGAGAUUGAGGUCAUUUUAACUACAUUUUUUUAAAUACGGUUACAGAUUUUUAACUAUGAAUAAGGACGUUAGCAUACUUAGACUAUUCCUCGUUCUCCCCACCUCCCUUAUACUUAGUUCCUUCAUGUUUUCCUGAACUAAUUUUAUUUUUGCCUUAUUUUUCUUAAAAACUUUUAAUUUCUGCUAUUUUGCUAUAUUUUAUGAUAUGUUAAGCCAUCCUUAGUUUAUAAUAGGAACAUGGCAGAAUAUAAAUAAAUCAUAGAUAAACAUACUAGAAGUUAUUAUAAUUUAAAAUUUUGAUAAUUCUGAUUUAUGAUUUACCAGUAAUUUUUUGGUAUGCAAUAGUAUGUGUAAUGGUUACUUCUAGUUCUGUAUUCACUAUUGAAAGCACGCUUUAAAGCAGCCCAGAAGUCUCUUUAAAUCCGUAUUUACCUCUACACUAAUAAAUCUCUAUAAAUUGUUGUGUCUUCAAUUUACCAUUAAUAAGCAGUAGAAAAAAUUGUUUUGCUUUGCUUUGGUACUACUGAAAUUGUGUGUUCUAAUAUAGUGAGGCCAUGAGGUGAGUGACUCCUAGUUUGCUAUUUUUUAAAUUACAGGCUGUUAAGUCAGAUCUGCCAGGAUCAGGUCCUAAAAGUGCUAUUUUUCACACAUCAAAAUCCAAGUUGAAAUACUGGCUUGUUUGUUAAGAUUAAUUAACUAUAGGUAAUACUUGCACCUUGCCUCAUUAAAAGAAGAAAAAAUGCCCCACUAUAUUCACUCACAGAAUUUUAGUAGAAAAAUUAAUGAUGAAUGUAAACAAACUUCAUGCAAAUACAACAUUUUUACCAUUUAGGAAAAAGAAAAACAUGAUUUUUCCCCCUCCAAAAUAGAGAUAAUUACUGAUAACGCAAUUUGCAGCUGUUUUCUUCAUGUGACCUCUGUUUUUUUUUUGUUUUCAAGUAUCAGAAAAUUGCAAACUUGACCAUCUGAUCUCAGGUAGUUGAGCAGUAUUGGGUGUUAAAAAAAUACUGGAAUUAGACACAUAGUAGCUCUGUCAUAAUUGGAUUUGAACUUUGACAAGUUUCUUAGCCCUGUGAGCCUCAGUUUCAUUUGAAAAAUGAUGGGAUUAAACUAGCAGGUCACUAAGUGCCUUCUAUUUGUAAAACCUUUGUUCCUAACUGAGCUAUAUUGAAAAUAUCAGUGCCCUCUUGAGUGUUCCUAUAUCAAGUUGCAUUGCAGCAAUUUUAAAACAUUGUUCAAACAAAAUACAUUGACUUUGAAAAAUAAAAAUAUCUUUGAAAAGAAGUAUGAAAUGAAAAUAAGUAAAUAAAAAAUAUGUUGACUUCCUUUAACUUAAGCUUUAAGUGGUUUUGUGAAAUAAAACAAGUGUAACUGAGUGUCCAACCUCAACACAUCAGUGAUCAUAUUUCUGUGACAAGAACCACAUUGCAUCUCUGAAGCCCUGUAGUACUUCCCCGGGUUUGUCCUGCAGACCAAGGCACAUUGUAGUUUUAAACACAGACUGGAAAUGUUCAGAAGAUUCAGUGGAAGUCAUGGACCAGGAAAGAUGGAGUUGGUGGUAAUUCAGACAAUUAGUUUAUUUGCUCUGAUGAUUUCUCUAGGUUCCAGAAGUACAUGUUUUAAAUUAUAGUGGCUAUUUGUCCCAUGAAUUACCUGAAAUUAAACAGUUUAAUUUUAAAAAAGCAGUAUUUAUUUAGAAAUUAAAGAUUUUUGAAAAAUUUGCAUAUGGUAAUGAAUAACUUUAUCUUCUAUUAGAUGAUCAUCAUGAAAAAGUAAAUGAAUGUAUUUAAAUUAAUGGGUUUCAAAGAUUAGACACAAGCCCUGGACUUUCAAAAUAUAUCUUUUAGAUUAUAAAAAUAAUUCAUGCUAAUCAUAGAAAUUUUAUAAUUUACAGGAAAGUAUAAAGAAAAAUAAAUUUAUCAGUUUCAUCAUCUGGAGAUAACUGCUGCUCCCAUUUUUCUGUACUUUUUUCUUUUUCCAUUCACACCAACAAAAAUAUUUUCACUUUAAGUGUCAGUGGGAUUAUAUUGUAUAUACAGUUUUUGAUUCCUCCCCUUCCCACUCAUAUCCUUAUAUGAUUAUAGAAAAAUGUCUCUAAUUGCUACAUAAUAUUCCCUUGUUUUGACCAUUCAAAUAUCUUGCCAGCUUUUAAUGAUUAUAAAUACUGCUACAAUAAAGAUCCUUGCAUAUAAAA
ensembl:lncRNA novel transcript